GGGACACGUGGUAUCCUGUCUGAAUAUGGGGGGACCAUCCUCCAAGGCUAAAUACUCCUGACUGACCGAUAGUGAACCAGUACCGUGAGGGAAAGGCGAAAAGAACCCCGGCGAGGGGAGUGAAAAAGAACCUGAAACCGUGUACGUACAAGCAGUGGGAGCACGCUUAGGCGUGUGACUGCGUACCUUUUGUAUAAUGGGUCAGCGACUUAUAUUCUGUAGCAAGGUUAACCGAAUAGGGGAGCCGAAGGGAAACCGAGUCUUAACUGGGCGUUAAGUUGCAGGGUAUAGACCCGAAACCCGGUGAUCUAGCCAUGGGCAGGUUGAAGGUUGGGUAACACUAACUGGAGGACCGAACCGACUAAUGUUGAAAAAUUAGCGGAUGACUUGUGGCUGGGGGUGAAAGGCCAAUCAAACCGGGAGAUAGCUGGUUCUCCCCGAAAGCUAUUUAGGUAGCGCCUCGUGAAUUCAUCUCCGGGGGUAGAGCACUGUUUCGGCAAGGGGGUCAUCCCGACUUACCAACCCGAUGCAAACUGCGAAUACCGGAGAAUGUUAUCACGGGAGACACACGGCGGGUGCUAACGUCCGUCGUGAAGAGGGAAACAACCCAGACCGCCAGCUAAGGUCCCAAAGUCAUGGUUAAGUGGGAAACGAUGUGGGAAGGCCCAGACAGCCAGGAUGUUGGCUUAGAAGCAGCCAUCAUUUAAAGAAAGCGUAAUAGCUCACUGGUCGAGUCGGCCUGCGCGGAAGAUGUAACGGGGCUAAACCAUGCACCGAAGCUGCGGCAGCGACACUAUGUGUUGUUGGGUAGGGGAGCGUUCUGUAAGCCUGUGAAGGUGUGCUGUGAGGCAUGCUGGAGGUAUCAGAAGUGCGAAUGCUGACAUAAGUAACGAUAAAGCGGGUGAAAAGCCCGCUCGCCGGAAGACCAAGGGUUCCUGUCCAACGUUAAUCGGGGCAGGGUGAGUCGACCCCUAAG
rnacentral:rRNA from 1 species